rnacentral:rRNA from 1 species
UUCCCGGGUGAGCUUGCCGAAGGUUUCGCAAGAGACCGAUGUACUUUUAAUCCCUUUUAUAAAAUAACUGAUCAAACAUUGCAGACAGAAAUGUGUGCAUUUAAUUGAAAUACAACUCUGACCAGUGGAUGUCUAGGCUCGCACAUCGAUGAAGAACGCUGCGAACUGCGAUACGUAAUGCGAAUUGCAGAAUUCAGUGAGUCAUCAAAAUUUUGAACGCAUAUUGCACUUCCGGGUUAGUCCUGGGAGUAUGCUUGUAUCAGUGUCCGUUAAUACAAACUUGUUUCAUUUAUUUGAAACAGAAUGUGGAGGUCUUGUUUCGACAAGUCCUUUUAAACGACACUACCUGUACGUCCUUGUGGGAUAUACAAUAUACAGGUUACUAUGAUUUCAAUUUCUAAAGUUCUGUUCAACUGUAACGGCUUGGAAGGAGGAAUAAAUUGCGGUAGUUUUGCUUGAGUUUCGGCUCGAGUGAACAUCAAUAUUGCUUUUUGUUUUUCUGGAAGAGUUGUGGCGG